rnacentral:lncRNA from 1 species
UAGAGCCUUUGUAAGCAACCAAACCAGAGAGAAGCCUCUGGAGAAUAGUGAGUGAAGAGGAAGGAAGGCCUGGGUCAGAAUCCUAGUUUAGCAUUUUUGUGAAAGUAUAGAAGAGGAAGCCAUUCAAAAAAAUACAGGGACAUUGAGAAGGGAAGUGUCCUAGAUAUAGGACAUCCAGAUGGGAGUAGUCAGCCUUGUCAGAUGCUCUAGGGAUUAUAAGGAAAAAGAGUUUUGUAGAGAGACAGAAGAAGCUAGAUUGAAUACUAUUGAGUGGUAGAGACAUUUGAAAAUGAAAAGCUUGAGAUCAUUAAGCAGCUUCGAGUCUGGAAAAUUUGUUGAAUGUACUGAGCAAUUAGAAUUGUUACCAGGAGAAAAUAUCAAUCUACUUGCUGGAGGAUCAAAAGAAAAAAUAGACAUGAAAAACCUGCUUCGUAACAUGUUAAGUCCAGAUCCAAGGGAACCUCAGAAAUCCAUUGAAGUUCAAUUGUUAAGAAGUUCUGUUUGUUUGGCAACUGCUUUAAACCCGAUAGAACAAGAUCAGAAGUGGCAGUCUAUAACUGAAAAUGUGGUAAAGUACUUGAAGCAAACAUCCCGCAUCGCUGUUGGACCUCUGAGACUUUCUACUUUAACAGUUUCACAGUCUUUGCCAGUUCUAAGUACCUUGCAGCUGUAUUGCUCACCUGCUUUGGAGAACACAGUUUCUAACAGACUUUAAACAGAGGACUGUCUUAUUCCACUCUUCGGUGAAGCUUUACGUUCAUGUAAACAGCAUGAUGUGAGGCCAUGGAUGCAGGCAGUAAGGUAUACUAUGUACCAGAAUCAGUUGUUGGAGAAAAAUUAAAGUUAAG